ensembl:rRNA 5S_rRNA 5S ribosomal RNA
UAUGGCCAUAUCACCCUGAACACACCCGAUCUCGUCUGAUCUGGGAAGCUAAGCAGGGUCGGGCCUGGUUAGUACUUGGAUGGGAGAAAAAGGCAUCAAACCCCAGCCUCUGGAGACCAAGCGCAGACCUAU